ACGGGUGAGUAAUACAUCGGAACGUGCCCAAUUGUGGGGGAUAGCCCGGCGAAAGCCGGAUUAAUACCGCAUAAGACCUGAGGGUGAAAGCGGGGGAUCGCAAGACCUCGCGCGAUUGGAGCGGCCGAUGUCAGAUUAGCUAGUUGGUGGGGUAAAGGCCUACCAAGGCGACGAUCUGUAGCUGGUCUGAGAGGACGACCAGCCACACUGGGACUGAGACACGGCCCAGACUCCUACGGGAGGCAGCAGUGGGGAAUUUUGGACAAUGGGCGCAAGCCUGAUCCAGCCAUGCCGCGUGCGGGAAGAAGGCCUUCGGGUUGUAAACCGCUUUUGUCAGGGAAGAAACGGUCUGAUCUAAUAAAUUGGGCUAAUGACGGUACCUGAAGAAUAAGCACCGGCUAACUACGUGCCAGCAGCCGCGGUAAUACGUAGGGUGCAAGCGUUAAUCGGAAUUACUGGGCGUAAAGCGUGCGCAGGCGGCUUUGCAAGACAGAUGUGAAAUCCCCGGGCUCAACCUGGGAACUGCAUUUGUGACUGCAAGGCUAGAGUACGGCAGAGGGGGAUGGAAUUCCGCGUGUAGCAGUG
rnacentral:rRNA from 1 species